AAUAUUAAACUAUAUAAAGAGAAUGUAGUGAUGAGUAUUAUUUAAAUUUGAAAACUGAGAAUUCACUUUCUGAUUUAAAUUUACAGUUUGCUCGAACAGAGAAGUUCAUCUUUCAACAUGCUCAACAUUUAUUUUUAUUUUUUCUUUGCGUUUUUCAACUUCUUGUUAGCAGUUAAUGCUGAUGUGACGCAGAAUGUUUUUCUACGUUUAUAUAACAGGAAUGGCUCACAUAUUGAUGAAAAUAUAAGAAACGCUAGUAUAUUUCUUCCUUAUAUACAAAAGAAUAAUUUUCUAAUAAUUUUUAUUAAUGGUCUCAAUAAUGACAUAAAUUCUUUGAGUGACAAAUUAAUAUCAAGUGCAUAUUUAGAUACGACAGAGGUUAAUGUUUUUGGACUCGAUUAUCGGAAUGUUACUACCCAAUUUUAUCCAUUUGCCGUGGCAGACAUAUCUACUGUCGGCAAAUUUGUAGCUAACGCUUUGGAUGAUAUGGUAGAAAAUGGUAUAAAUCCGAAAAAGAUACAUAUAAUUGGGCAUUCAUUGGGAGCUGAGCUUGCUGGUAGUAUAGGACGCCAAAUGAAAGUAAAAAUUAGCAGAAUAACAGGUUUGGAUCCUGCCGGUCCUUUAUACUAUUUACUGAAUAAUCAUUUGAGCAUUUCCGACGCUGAUUUCGUAGAUGUUAUUCAUACUGAUAUGGGAUUCGCGGGAUUGGCUUUAAAAAUUGGUACUGUCAAUUUUUUUCCAAAUUAUGGUCGCAGACCGCAACCAGGUUGUUCAAUAGAACUUACAAGUUCUUGCAGUCAUAGUAGAUCUUACGAAUAUUACGCGGAAUCGAUUAGAAAUCAUGAGGCUUUCAUUGGAAAAUGUUAUUCAUUAAAUAAGUGCAGCGGCGCUGAAUACGUUUCAAUGGGAUAUGCGACACCAAGCAAUGCAUGCUGUUUCUUAUUAUGAUUUGAUUGACUCUUCUUUCUUUCGUUUAUAUAAUAGAAAUGGCUCUUAUAUUGAUACAAAUGUUGAAAACGUCAAUGUAUUGCUACCUUACAUAGAAAAGAAUAAUAGUUUAGUUCUUUAUCUCACUGGUUACACAUAUGAUAUCAAUUCUGAGAAUGUUAAACUCAUAACGGAUGUAUAUUUAAAUUAUACGCAGGAUAAUGUCCUAGCUCUUGAUUAUCGAAAUAUUACGCGAGCAGAUUACUUAACUGCUGUAUAUGCAAUUAACGAUCUCGGCAAACUUGUUGCUGAUG